rnacentral:ncRNA from 1 species
AGUGCAACGAAGAAGAGGUGAGUAACCAAGCCUAAGUUGUUCAGAGAGUUGCGUAGGGUGUGAAGCAAUCAACUUAGUUGGUGAAUAUGGCCUUGGAGUGGGUUGAAACGAUGAUAAUGAACGUCGUUUCCGGGUGCGCCCGUUAUCGCGCUAGAGUAUCACCGCUUUUUUAGCGCGUACUUGAUAAGUGUCCAAAGGUGAUUUUGGGCAGAAUUCGGGUGGUAACACGAUGAUGAGUCGUCCCGUUG